UAAACUUGACUGAAAUUUUAAAAAACAAUGACUAGAUUCAGCGUGGUCGCAAUUGUCGUCCUGGUGACCGCCUUCGUUGGCAUUUCCCUUGCCAACGAGGGCAGUCCAGUUCAAUAGGCGAACUUGGGAGGCCUUUAAGGAGGAAUAUAAAAAGGAAUAUAAAUCUGCCAAAGAAGAGGCAUGGGCUCGUGGAAAAUUUGAAAAAAACUCGGCACGUGUGCACGUUCACAAUAAAAGAUUUGAACAUGGAGAAGUUCUGUACAAACUAGCAAUUAACGAAUUUGCGGAUGAAGACCCGGUUGACUUUCAUGAAACUCAUCAUGGUCUAAACCCAGAAUUGGCAAUGAAUGAUACCAUUCUACCGGUGACCAACGAGCGGAACGCUCUGGCCUCACUGCCAACCAGUUGGGAUUGGAGACGGUAUGGAUACGUGUCCGCUGUCAGAAAUCAAGUUGGCUAUUGGCGUUACUGCUAACAAUGGGAUCCAUUAUAUACUCGGGGAUCCCUUUCUUGUAGCCAGAACAAAUCGGUGGAUCAUGCCGUGUUGCUUGUUGGAUAUGAGGUUAGCGAUACCGGAAGCAAUUAUUGGAUUAUCAAAAACUCUUGGGGGACCGGAUGGGGGGACAAAGGAUUUGCCUACAUUCUAAUGGGUCAAGCUGGAUACCUUGACUGUGGCAUAAGCCAGUUCUUUUCGACAUUUCCAUACCUUGAUUAGAUGCUAAGUAACACAUAGACACAAACCUCUUUAUGAAUUUUGCUUUUCAGUGAAGUCAAUUAAUUUAGCCAAAUUUGAAACGAAAUAUAAAUUACUGCAAGUUGAGACAAUUCAUGUGUUAAACACCUGCAUAAUUUAAAUAAUAUCACGAUUGAACCCAAGAUUAUGCCUCAUUAUUUAUGUGACUUCGUAUUUAAAAAAUCACCCCUCAGCUCGUUAUUUCAAUUACUGUCUAAAUAAUCGGUACUUACUACAGCACCUAAAUAAAUGCCA